UACAGAGGUCCCAAGCGUUGUUCGGAUUCACUGGGCGUAAAGGGUGCGUAGGCGGUCGGGUAAGUCUGAUGUGAAAUCUCACAGCUUAACUGUGAAACUGCAUUGGAUACUAUUCGGCUUGAGAGUUGGAGGGGGGACUGGAAUUCCUGGUGUAGCGGUGAAAUGCGCAGAUAUCAGGAGGAACACCGGUGGCGAAGGCGGGUCUCUGGGCCGUAACUGACGCUGAGGAGCGAAAGCAUGGGGGAGCGAACAGG
rnacentral:rRNA from 1 species